CUCCCUCCCGACAAGGAAGCCCCAGCCCACACUGGCAGCUGCCCAAGGGCCUGGGGCGCUCGUGUGCACAGGCCACUAAAGUCACCCAAUGCCAGCCAGCCUUGGUGAAAAUUACCAUUUGCUCAACUGAGAUACUGGGUCCAUGACUCCAAGGGGAGCUCGUUCUGGUUGCUCUGGGUAUAGAGACUCUGAACUGUCCUGCCACGUAAAGAGAACAGUCUCGUUUCUCACACUCUGCGAAAAGACAGGUACGUGGCCCGCUCGCUGCCUUCUCCAGCCUUUGCACAAAGAACUUACAGCUUUUGAGUACAACCCACAGCUUACAGGGUCUUAGAAGCAAAAUUCGUGUUUGGAGCAAUUGUCAGACUGCAGCUUGGCAACACACUUCCUAUGUGCCUUUGCUACUAUUUGAACAACUGCUAUCAGCUGGAAGGGUUAUUCCCUCCUGCCGUUAGGGCAUUGCUUUCCCUGGAUCUAGAACAAGACUGACCAGAUGUGUCUGGAGUUGAUUGCUGCCAUUGGGUUCUUCGUUUCGCUGACCAAAAAUGAAGCCGUGGACCUUCCCGGAACAAAAAGGGUGGAAAAAUUAAGAGGUGGCCUCAGUCCUGUCCACCCUGGGCGAGGUGGUCAGAUCCUGCUGGCGACUGCAGCUGUUUCUCUCAGGAGGAUGAUGAAUACCCUACAGAUGGCAGCUGCUCCUGUUCUCAGGAGCCUGGUCAUUAGGAAGAAAAGGAUAAAAACCCCAAACCUGUUAUCUACUGAGCAAUUCUGAGCUGCUCUGGAAAUUUGAAAGGCACUGGGAAGAAAAGUGUCACCAGUUCUGCUGGGACGGGGCCAGGGUGUGGGUGGGGGAUUCGGGCAGGGCUGGCUGCUCGCUCGCCCCCUCCCUCCCUGGAGGGCCCACUCUGCACUCCUGCCCUUCUUCCAACUUUUCCUCCUUCUUAUUAUCUUCGGAUCUUCCUUCUGUUCCUCUACAGCUGAGCCUUCCUGAGGAGGUAAAGGAGUGUCCCUGGUGCUUGGGCAAAUGGAACCGGUUCAGCCCAUGCUGUCACCACGUGCAGGGCCCUCUCUCAGUGUGACUGGUGUGACAGGAGGAAGAAGGGCAGUGAGCCGUGGCCCAGCUAUUGCAGGGACAGCCAGAGCAGCUUCCUGCAGUGCAAGCCCUGCCUGACGCCCUUCUGCCUUUCUCAUCGGGUCUCAGCUCGUCCUGGCCACACCCGUCCAGGCCUUUUCUGCAGGAAAGGAACUUUUG
rnacentral:lncRNA from 1 species